rnacentral:rRNA from 1 species
CCUACGGGUGGCAGCAGUGGGGAAUAUUGCACAAUGGGGGAAACCCUGAUGCAGCGACGCCGCGUGAGUGAAGAAGUAUCUCGGUAUGUAAAGCUCUAUCAGCAGGGAAGAAAAUGACGGUACCUGACUAAGAAGCCCCGGCUAACUACGUGCCAGCAACCGCGGUAAUACGUAGGGGGCAAGCGUUAUCCGGAUUUUCUGGGGGUAAAGGGAGCGUAGGCGGCGCUGCAAGUCCGGAGUGAAAGCCCAUGGCUUAACCAUGGUACUGCUCUGGAAACUGUAAAGCUGGAGUGCAGGAGAGGUAAGCGGAAUUCCUAGUGUAGCGGUGAAAUGCGUAGAUAUUAGGAGGAACACCAGUGGCGAAGGCGGCUUACUGGACUGCAACUGACGUUGAGGCUCGAAAGCGUGGGGAGCAAACAGGAUUAGAUACCCUUGUAGUC